ensembl:lncRNA
GUAUGUUUGUCAUUAUUAUAAAAAGAUGUUGACUGGUGACCUGUCAGAAACCCAUUAUACAGAGUCAGCCAAAAUAAUGUUUACACACAUCAGGAAAAGGAAAACUUGCAUAAAUAUUUCAAUACCAAAUUUAUUCAGACAUCAGGAGAUAAAUAAAAGUUAUCUUUGGUCUCUACAAUUACAAGAGGUGCUCAAAGUGGAGGCCACUGGCUUCCAGACAUUUCUGUUGUGUUGUAGAUGUCACUUGUUGAUGCUCCAUUCAUGAGAGUAGCGCCAUCUGUUGGGAAAACAUCGUACAACAGGACACAGAGUUAUCGUGAUUUGAUCAAACUUAGAAAGAAGAAUCUAUAUGUAUAGAAGUACUUAUACAAAUGAAAUAUUUAUAAAAGUUUUUCAUUUCCUGAUGUGUGUUUACAUUAUUUUGGCUGAUUCUGACUCUGUGAACUUAAUGAGAAAAAAACUGUCAUUUAAUUGUUGCUCUGAAAGCUUCUUUAAUGAAAACCGGCUGAUGUUCUGCUUUGAAACAAACUGCUGUUGAGGUCUGUGUUUUUUGGUUUAACCCCACAGUUUCUGAAUGAACUGAUUGUUUGUUUUUCCUGAUCAAUGUGGACGUUAUAAUUGAUGGUAACAUUUACUGAUCAUAUAAUCAGCAUGACAAUAUAACAGUAGAACAUUCUGACCACCUGACUAAUACUGUGUUGGUCCCUUUAUGCUGCUAAAACUCCUCUGACCCAGUGGUUCAUCAGAACCUCUGGGGAUGUCCUGUGGAUUCUGUGGAUCCUGUGGGUUGCAGGGUGGGUCCUACCUAGACCAGGCUGAUCCUGGACCAUCCCACAGAUGCUCCAUCAGAUGUGGAUGUGGGGAGUGUGGAACCCAGAUGCACAAUGAGGGACGUCUGCAGAGACUGAGAAAGAGUCUCACCACAUCCUGACAUGAGGAAAAAGACUUCAUUGAAGACUACAAUGAGAAAAACUAUCAGACAGCAGACGGCUGCAUUCAAGGCUACAGGAGGAGCCCUACGAGGACGAGCCGGUCCACCUGAUGGCGGCCAGUCGCUGCGGUUCAAAGCCAACACCGACUACGUGGACUUCUACUGGACCACACGGAGGCCUUCAAACCGGACCAACAAGUUCAGCGACUCCCCGACUCGUGGGUCUGAGGACGCCGCCGAGCCUCGGUCCAGCCGGCCUCCUGUCUGUGGGUGUUUGAGUGCUGAGAGGUUUGUGGAUGCAUGUGAACGUUCUGUGUUGAAACAGCAGCUUUGGACUCAGUAACGCCGGGAAAAACCAAGAGCUCCUUUAUUUGUGACUUCCACUAAAAAAACUGAU